GACGAAGGCUGGCGGCGUGCUUAACAUAUGCAAGUCGAACGGAAAGUGCCCAGCUUGCUGGGCGACUCGAGUGGCAAACGGGUGAGUAACACGUGGGUGAUCUGCCCUGCACUUUGGGAUAAGCCUGGGAAACUGGGUCUAAUACCGAAUAUUUCUUGCUGGUCGCAUGGCCUGGUGGGGGAAAGCUUUUGCGGUGUGGGAUGGGCCCGCGGGCUAUCAGCUUGUUGGUGGGGUGAUGGCCUACCAAGGCGAAGACGGGUAGCCGGCCGGAGAGGGUGUCCGGACAAACUGGGACUGAGAUACGGCCCAGACUCAUACGGGAGGCAGCAAUUGUGAAUAUUGCACAAUGGGCGCAAGCCUGAUGCAGCGACGCCGCGUGAGGGAUGACGGCCUUCGGGUUGUAAACCUCUUUCAAUAGGGACGAAGCGCAAGUGACGGUACCUAGAGAAGAAUCACCGGCCAACUACGUGCCAGCAGCCGCCGUAAAAC
rnacentral:rRNA from 1 species